rnacentral:misc_RNA from 1 species
UUUUACACGAAACACGGAGCCGUAAAUUUUUUUAAAUAUUAUUGCACAUGCACCGUUGCAUACAGUCUCGUUCUAUUUUUAGCAUGUAUGAAAGAGUGAAAAGUGGCUUGCCUACGAGAAACUAAAGGAGGAAAUUCUAGAAAAGAUUAGAAAAAUCGAAGAGGAACGCCAUACUGUGGACUUGUGGCCUUGCGGGCCUGAAUGGGGACGCAAGAAACGAAGACGGCAGGUGUCAGUGUCACCCCCGUAUGUGGUGUAUAUGCUGUCGGAUUCCGACAUCAUGGAGGACUGGAGGCUAGUGAGGAAACUGCUCGAAAGAACUGAUUCGUAGAAAAUUAUAUAGUGUAUAUUAAAGUUGUAUUCAGCUAACUAAAGAGUACUUCGUAUUGUAGUUUUUAAUGUGAUUUUAACAAGAUUUUUACGCUAUAAGUAGGUUUUUUUGUUUCGAAAUUGUGUUUAUGUGACUGGAUUUAAUAUGUGAUUAUAAUAUCCUGAUACGCCGACUGUUUCAAUUGUAAUUUUCUAUUCCAUCUUCAUAUUAUAUAUAAAAAACUCCUAUUAGUUGGACCCCUUCGGUGAGUGGUUUAGUUGAGGUUUAUUUUUUUCUUUCUUCUUCUAUUUUCCUGUCUUUUCGAUAUUUUUGGUGAUUUCUUUACGAAGAAUUGUAAUUUUCUUAAAAAAUAUUAGAAAAGAAGUAAACUUUUAGCUACCGAACUACAUAAAAUCAAACAUUUUUAUUAUUUCAAAAAUUUUAGAUGUACCUACCGUUUGCAAUUCAAUUUUUUAUUUUUUUUUUUCGUUUUUGUUAUUAUUAUUUAUUCAGCUUAAACAUUAAUGACGUGAAAUAUUCAGGGGAUUGUAUUAGUUUAGUCGCAUCCGAGUUGUGAAUUUAUUAUUUGAACUUAAAAUAACAUAAAAAAUAAUUUUAUUAAUUUUUUUGCUUUGUAUUCAUAUAGGUAUAUAUAAAAAAUAAUGAUACUAUAUACUGUUGAGUACAAUAUAUAUAGAAAAAUACGAGCGUAAAGCAUCAAAUCUGAAUAUUAUAAGAUUAGCUAGAAUAAAAUUACUCGUAGCUAGUACCAAUAAGGAAUACUGUGCUGAUACCAAUAAGGAAUACUGUAUUCUUUAUUUUCUUAUUCUCAAUCUUAAUUCUACUUCUCUUCUGUUACACAUAAAAUAUAAGCUUUGAAUAAUAUCCGAGAACUAUGUUUUAUAAGACUAUUAAAGUCUCGAUGAAAUCGCAUUGUAAAAAUGUCACAACCUCACCCAAACACACACACAUACAUUAAAUGUAUAUAUGUAUGUAUGGAGAAUAAUGUUAUAGUCUUACUUUUACAAUUUAAAAGUUAAAAACGAGUCGUGUAAUUUAAUUUUACGAAUAUGUCGAUGGCUCCUAAGUAUACUGAGUCAACUCUACUUUUAAUAACUUUAUUUUUUUCUUACAUAGGUAGAUAGGAAAUCAAGUAAAUAUUAUUAAUAUCUCAAAAAAUUAAAUUAUCAAAAGUUGUUAGUUGACUCAGUAUACUUAGGAGCCAUCGAUGUGUUUGGGUUGUUUCUUCACUUAUCGUGUAGGUAAGCUUCGUUUUAGUAAUAGGUGUAAUGACAAAUUUUUAGUUUUAAUCAUUUUCGAAAUAAAAAUUAAAAAAGAAAAUUUUUACGAUUAACAAAUUGUUUACAAAAAAAAUUAUUAGCUAGAUUUUUUUUUUUGUGUUGUAUGUAAUGUACGACGCUUGGAUCGUAUUAAUCGUACAGAAUGAAAACAAGCAAGAGGCAUGAAACUAGACCUAUGUAUCCAUAGCGUCGUUCCUAAGUUACGUUUAUACAAGAUUAGUUUUACAGCUGAAUUUAAACUACUGUUCGCAUUCUACUGAAUUUUUGUAUACCUGUAAAUUAUAAAAUGAACUAUAUUUAGUUUCAUUUGAUCCCUCUCGCUUCUGUGCAUCCUGUUUAGGAUUGAUUGUUUUUUUUUUUGUAAACUUCGAAAAUAAAUUUAAAACUUCGAAAGGCUAGGUUUGAACGUUUUAAGUGGAAUUUAAAAAGUGGAGUUACAAAUACGUCGAUAAUAAUUAUGAUAAAUUAGUUCAUACUAUAAUUGUCGUAAUUGUCGACUAUAAUUGUCGUAAUUUGUUUUCGAAGUCAGAUGUCGAUGAUUUCAUGUGAAAUAUAUCGAAAAUGUAAAAAAAAGGAAAAUUAAAAUUAUGUAAAACUAAAGUCAGA